UUGAAAUAGUAUCUAGCAAAGUGCAAUAGAGCCUGUAUUGGUUUCAUUAAUACAGAAUGACUGAUUGCCUUUCCCUAAAGGAUCUAGCCAGAUCCCACAAUGUCUCCAGAACUUCUUUGCCACAGACUAACCAGGUCUUUCUGUCUUUACCACCACGGCUCUACAUUAGCGCCUGAUUUCCGGGUUUUAUUUCACGCAUUUUAUUUCAGGCUAACCUCCUGCUGAAAAUAAGGAAGGAUUGAUUUUCCUCUCAGUCACACCGAUUACCGGUGUGAAUUCCCCCGAUUCCAGCAACUGAAUGUUCUCUGAAGAUCCUGGGAGUGGUCCCAGGAUCGGCCCCUGGAUGAAGGAUCGGGCAUCUCCCAUUGGGAUUAAAAACCGAUACAGGCUAUUCUGCCGAAGUCCAGGGAGAGAAGACCAGGGAGAUUCUUUGCUCAAAUGCGACUCCGUUUUCGAAGAAGACUCGUGUAAAAGCAUAGCGGGCACUUGGAAUACAGUGAAGUGAAUGUAACCGAAGCAUUGGAAGUGAUUAAAGCGCAUGAAUCCUUGGGACGUUCACCGCAAAGUGGAGAGGAGAAAGCUCAGGGGGCUGGGAUUUGGAAACUGUGCCCCCCCCGCCCCCAUGAUGGCUGCUGGGCUCCCUUUUCUUCCCUGUGCAAGUAAGUCGGCCUCACAGCAGAGGGACGAGCUGGAGUUGUAAAGGGAUCAGCAGGGAAACGACCAGGGAAUAUUUUUCACUCAAUUCCCACGUUCUCUCUCAUGUCUCUCCUUAUUCCCUGGAGAGCCACCAUUCCCCCAAGCCAGUUAACCUCGGACAAUGAGUGAGAGCCUCCUUUAAUUUUCCUGUCAGCCUAAAGAGAGCUACACUGUGAACCUUACACUUACUCACACAGAGCGGGGCUGCUUGGUGUUGCCAUUUGCACCAGAAAGACCCCCCAAAAGGGACACUGGUCUGGGACCUCGGUCAAGAACCUAAUGAUGUUUUCCAUUUGAAAAAGGGGCACUAAUUGCCAUUGAUCCAUACCAAUAGCAGAUCCAGCACCAAACUGCAAUAGCCGGCAUGGGGCUAAACAACAACCCAAACCUGCACAAUAUUAGAGGGGAAAGGAAGAGAGAGAUAACAAAGGAGGAGACUGCAGAGGAGCCCAAUCAUAACUAUUCAACACAAGUGUGUCCAGACAGCAUGUGACACAACCUAGGUUAGAACGCUUCCCUCAGUGCAGAUGAUGGAUCAUUACCUCCAGUGGGGUUCAUUUGAAAGGAAUGAGGAAGAUGCCUUGGAAAUGCAGCAUUGUUGAAUUAUGCCAUCGAGGCCCCGACCCUGACACACCCACGUCAAGAGCAAAACUCCCAGUGACUUCAAAUGGUAGAAAGGAUCGGGUCCCCUAGCUCCCAGCAGAAUAGCUUACUGAUAAGUUUUUUUCUGCCCUAGUGAAUUUUAUCACUGUUUGUCCUACUCAGUGGGGGAAAAGGUAUCAUUUUAUAGAAAUACUACUUCCAUGUUUGCUGUUUGAAUCAACUUUAGUGUUUCCAGGAAGCCUUGUAUUGACAUAUCUUCACCAUAGCCAUUCCCAGCCCUUAAAUUAGUUGAAAACAGAGGCUUAUCAGUCUAAAAAGUAAUAAGUGGUCAGCAGCAAAGAUAUGAAUGUGUUUAUUGCCCCAUCAUCCAGUAGCUCAGCCGAGGAAAAGGAAAGAAACAGCUUGUGUUUGUAAAAAUGCAUUCAUCGUUUAAAGGAAGGGCUACCCUAGGAGAAGCGAAAGUCUUAUUAAUCUCCUUUGUGUGACUUCAAAAUGAACAGUAGGAACUUGAAUUAAGCAACUGUUUUUAGUGCACAUAUGUUUCCUUUUAAUAUCUCUGCUCUCUUCUGUACUGCAGACAUUAAUCUCCUAAAUGCUUUUUUUAUUACAGUCAGACUAAUUUCAGCCCAGACUGUUCAUUUAAUUGACAACUGACGUGCCAUAGGGUGCUUUAUGUACUUAAUGUGUCUCUUUGUGUUCUUGGGUUCACGUAGCAAUAUUUUGGGUGUCUCCCAGGGCAAUGAAAUGCAUUUCUAAACUUUAAGGUUCUGUUCAUAAAUGUAUUUGAAAUACAUUUGACAUGAUCGCUACAUGCAGCUACAAUCUCUAAUUGUAUAAUGCAUUUGCACAACAUUUUAAACCAGGCAUGCUUCUGCAAACUGCUAGAAAGGACAGCAUUUGUAGAUAUUACAGAAAUAUGCAUACACUGGUAUAAAGUGUGAUUUUUCUGUAAUAAAGCAUGCUGUUAAGAAUCCAGAACAUUUACUAAAUACAAAAUGAAAUCUCAUACACAUUUUUACUGCAUGCAGGACGUACGUUCUUGUGGCCACUAAGAUAUCUUUACACCUCAAUGGGAGUGUGAAAUGACCUUACUGAAGUGUGCAUACAUUACAUUGACACCCCUCCCCUCCGCCCCUGCUUUAAGGCAUAUUUACAUUGCCAGAGUGGUGGAAGGGAACCUUAGUGUAAAUGAGAAUUGGGCCAAAUAUAUGUAACAGAGCAGUUCACUGUACUCUACAGAGAUACUUCUUGAGAAGGACUUCCUUUCUAGAGAUUUUUAAAAGUAAAGAUUAUCAGAACAAAAAUGAUUUCUCUCACUUCAGCUGGAAGGAAAAAAGAAAGCUGAGUAAAUAUGUGCUAAUUGAGUAAAUUAGAAUAAACGUGAUGUUUUGGCCGUGAUUCCAAUUUCAGACUGAGGACAUAAAUAUGAAACAAGGUUAGAGUAAACCCAUUGCAAUUUAGGAGAAUGAUUAAUUGAUAUUUAUUAAUCUUCAUGUGUCUUAUUUUAAUAAUCCCAGAAGUCGUCUAUGGUAGGUAUAAACAUUGUAGAAAAUAUGUAACUAACUGAUGUCAUUGCUGCUGUAUAUAUUUCUUAUUAAAUUCCUAGAUACCAUCUCA